GCGGGUGUAGUUCAAUGGUAGAACUUCAGCCUUCCAAGCUGACUACGUGGGUUCGAUUCCCAUCACCCGCUCUA
rnacentral:tRNA from 1 species